AAACUGAAUAACUGAUAGUCGUAUAUCCUUGGGAAUAAGGCCCGAAAGUUUCUACCAGAGCACCGUAAAUGCUUUGACUACGAUGAAUGG
rnacentral:ncRNA from 1 species